AUGGCGGGGUUCGGACUCACAGGCCCAAGGUCAGGCCAAGGCUGGCCCUCAGUCACCCUAUUCCCACCCUCCUCUGAGGAGCUCCAAGCCAAUAAAAUCACACUGGUCUGUCUGGUGAAUGACUUUUACCCGAGUGCUGUGACAGUGGCCUGGAAGGCAGAUGGCACCCGAGUCACCCAGGGAGUGGAGACCACCAAGCCCUCCAAACAGAGCAAUAACAAGUACAUGGCCAGCAGCUACUUGUCUGUGACACCUGGCCAGUGGAAUUCUGGCAAGGCAUAUAGCUGUCAUGUCACACAUGAAGGCAGCACUGUGGAGAAGAGUGUGUCUUCUUCAGAGUGUUCCUAG